rnacentral:rRNA from 1 species
UCCUAGUACGAGAGGACCGGAGUGGACAGAUCUCUGGUGUACCGGUUAUCACGCCAGUGGUAUUGCCGGGUAGCUAAAUCUGGAAGAGAUAACCGCUGAAAGCAUCUAAGCGGGAAACUCGCCUUGAGAUAAGAUUUCCCUGGGGGUUUAACCCCCCUGAAGAGUCGUUCGAGACUAGGACGUUGAUAGGCUGGGUGUGGAAGCGCAGUAAUGCGUUAAGCUAACCAGUACUAAUUGCUCGUGAGGCUUGAUCCU